rnacentral:rRNA from 1 species
CGUAUUGUGUGGUUAAUUCCGUUAACGAACGAGACCACAGCCUACUAAAUAGUACGUGUUAUGGUAACAUAGUAUGAGACUUCUUAGAGGGACAUUUCGGGUUUACCGAAAGGAAGUUUGUGGCAAUAACAGGUCUGUGAUGCCCUUAGAUGCUCUGGGCCGCACGCGCGCUACACUGACGACUUCAACAAGUUUUUUGGCAUUGCCAAAUUUCCUUGGCCGGAAGGUCUGGGUAAUCUUUUAAAAGGUCGUCGUGAUGGAGCUAGAUUCUUGCAAUUAUUAAUCUCCAACGAGGAACC